GUUUUAAUUCAUUGCCAUAGAGAGAACAGAGCAUCUUGUGAAAAAAUGGUGCUAUUGUUCCGUUGCGGGCAUAGAACAAAUCGAUUCCUUUCUCUCGUAUUUUCGAUCUGUAAGUUUGAUUCUUCGUCAAGCAGCUUGCAGUUUCGAGGGGGAAGGAUUAUCUACAUUCGUUUUGUUUUUGCUGUUCUUAAUCUUGUCUUUGAAGGCCGAUCCAAUGGGUUCUCAGACGUGAAAUUCGAAUACUCGAGAACUCAAUUUCACCCGGCCGAGAUUUGCUUUGGGGUAUCAAGGUUUUGCAUGUUCUCAAUCAUGCUCUAAUUCAGGGAACUACCCUAAAUUUCUUCUCUUCAAACAUAUGCAUGCGUUCUUUCUUUCUUUUCUUCCCAUUUAGUAUGAGAUCUAUCUUGGUAGAUACAUUCUGCAGCCUGUUCUUUAGUAGAUAGGUAGAGUUUAAAUGAAUUAGAAAUAGAUUUUAAAUACAUGAAAAAGGUAAAUAUACAGCAGCCGUCGGCCGUAGUCUGGCCGGCGACUGGAAGGAGAGGCGUGGAGGACUUGCCAAAUUGCAUCAUCUUCGCUGGAUUUUUGGGGAAUUUGUGAGCUUGGAUGUGUUAACGGCAGAUGAGAGAGCGAGCUCGGGAUUUUUAGUGAAGAACGACGCCGGAAUCUGAGAAAGCAAAGCCAUGCUCAAUAGCUAGUGUUCAAACGAAUAAUGUUAUAACAAUUAUACUGUGAUUCAUAAAGUUAUGAAAAUGAUCUCAUGGGCCUCCUUUUUUUCAAGGAACUAAGUAUAUUGACGAUUGAUGCCUUUGGAAGGGAGAUUCCCUUAAAACAACUGCAGAAUUUCAGCGAAUCGGGAAUUUGGGACUCCACAACCAAGGUUGAUUCACCAGAAGAGCUAGUUCAGUUUGAAGUUUGAAGAUCUUUUCUCCUUUCUCAUAGCUACUCCCAAAUGCUGUUCGAGAAAUCACAUCAGCAGCCAUUUGUUGUAGAUAAGGCAUUACGUCUAACUCACAUGAUCCGGUCUCGAAGACCAUGCUUUCCCAUUUGCUAACCAUGUCGUAGCAGCUAUGAUAGAAUGCUGGUACCAUAACCUGUAAGCCAAUUUAAGGAUUGAUUAUCUUUCUGUGUCUCGCCCAUUUUGCUCCUUCAUGGUUUACAACUCCACCUGCAAACAACUUGAGAAGGGGAUUCAUAACUGGCUUUUGGAUAUCAUUGAUCAAUAACAAAAUUACAGGUAAAUUCAAUGAACAGAAACGCAGGGGAGUUCACAAAUCAUUCGAGAAGAAGGAUUGAAAGAUGAGGAAGAUGGAGAUUGGGAUAUGUUAUAAUACC